GACGAACGCUGGCGGCGUGCUUAACACAUGCAAGUCGAACGGAAAGGCCCUGCUUUUGUGGGGUGCUCGAGUGGCGAACGGGUGAGUAACACGUGAGUAACCUGCCCUUGACUUUGGGAUAACUUCAGGAAACUGGGGCUAAUACCGGAUAGGAGCCCCUGCUGCAUGGUGGGGGUUGGAAAGUUUCGGCGGUUGGGGAUGGACUCGCGGCUUAUCAGCUUGUUGGUGGGGUAGUGGCUUACCAAGGCUUUGACGGGUAGCCGGCCUGAGAGGGUGACCGGCCACAUUGGGACUGAGAUACGGCCCAGACUCCUACGGGAGGCAGCAGUGGGGAAUAUUGCACAAUGGGCGGAAGCCUGAUGCAGCAACGCCGCGUGCGGGAUGACGGCCUUCGGGUUGUAAACCGCUUUCGCCUGUGACGAAGCGUGAGUGACGGUAAUGGGUAAAGAAGCACCGGCUAACUACGUG
rnacentral:rRNA from 1 species